CAGCGAGGAGGAAAGCGGUGAGGACACAGGUCCACAGGAUGCUCAGGAGUAUGGGAACUACCAGCCAGGGUCCCUGUGUGGCUACUGCUCCUUCUGCAAUCGAUGCACUGAAUGUGAGAGCUGUCACUGUGAUGAGGAGAACAUGGGUGAGCACUGCGACCAGUGCCAGGGCCCUGGCAGACAUGCUGGAAACGCCGGAACCCUGACCCAGUCGCUCGACUGCGACGCAGGUGUACCUCCCCCUGCCUUCCAACCCCUUUCCACGAGCUAUAUUUAUUUCUCCGAAUAAACGUGCUCCCCGAA
rnacentral:lncRNA from 1 species